rnacentral:rRNA from 1 species
GUACACUCCUGCGGGAGGCAGCAGUGGGGAAUAUUGGACAAUGGGCGCAAGCCUGAUCCAGCCAUGCCGCGUGAGUGAUGAAGGCCCUAGGGUUGUAAAGCUCUUUCACCGGUGAAGAUAAUGACGGUAACCGGAGAAGAAGCCCCGGCUAACUUCGUGCCAGCAGCCGCGGUAAUACGAAGGGGGCUAGCGUUGUUCGGAUUUACUGGGCGUAAAGCGCACGUAGGCGGACUAUUAAGUCAGGGGUGAAAUCCCGGGGCUCAACCCCGGAACUGCCUUUGAUACUGGUAGUCUUGAGUUCGAGAGAGGUGAGUGGAAUUCCGAGUGUAGAGGUGAAAUUCGUAGAUAUUCGGAGGAACACCAGUGGCGAAGGCGGCUCACUGGCUCGAUACUGACGCUGAGGUGCGAAAGCGUGGGGAGCAAACAGGAUUAGAAACCCGAGUAGUCCCA